GAUGAACGCUGGCGGCGUGCUUAACACAUGCAAGUCGAACGGGAAACAUUUCAUUGAGGCUUCGGCGGAUUUGGUCUGUUUCUAGUGGCGGACGGGUGAGUAACGCGUGGGUAACCUGCCUUAUACUGGGGGAUAACAGCCAGAAAUGGCUGCUAAUACCGCAUAAGCGCACGGGGCCGCAUGGUCCUGUGUGAAAAACUCCGGUGGUAUAAGAUGGACCCGCGUUGGAUUAGCUAGUUGGCAGGGCAGCGGCCUACCAAGGCGACGAUCCAUAGCCGGCCUGAGAGGGUGAACGGCCACAUUGGGACUGAGACACGGCCCAGACUCCUACGGGAGGCAGCAGUGGGGAAUAUUGCACAAUGGGGGAAACCCUGAUGCAGCGACGCCGCGUGAAGGAAGAAGUAUCUCGGUAUGUAAACUUCUAUCAGCAGGGAAGAUAAUGACGG
rnacentral:rRNA from 1 species